ACACACGCUCUUCUAAAUGUGUUUGUUUUGUUCCUUAUUUCAACUUCUCUAUAAAUCACCCGUGGGGGUUCUGGCACCCACUGUUAAGGUAGUCAGAGAUGGUAAGAGCACACGCCUGAAC